rnacentral:rRNA from 1 species
CCUACGGGUGGCUGCAGUGGGGAAUAUUGGACAAUGGGGGGAACCCUGAUCCAGCCAUGCCGCGUGUGUGAAGAAGGCCCUCGGGUUGUAAAGCACUUUCAGUGAGGAAGAACGCCUGGUGGUUAAUACCCAUCAGGAAAGACAUCACUCACAGAAGAAGCACCGGCUAACUCCGUGCCAGCAGCCGCGGUAAUACGGAGGGUGCGAGCGUUAAUCGGAAUUACUGGGCGUAAAGCGCGCGUAGGUGGCUUGAUAAGCCGGUUGUGAAAGCCCCGGGCUCAACCUGGGAAUGGCAUCCGGAACUGUCAAGCUAGAGUGCAGGAGAGGAAGGUAGAAUUCCCGGUGUAGCGGUGAAAUGCGUAGAGAUCGGGAGGAAUACCAGUGGCGAAGGCGGCCUUCUGGACUGACACUGACACUGAGGUGCGAAAGCGUGGGUAGCAAACAGGAUUAGAUACCCGUGUAGUC